rnacentral:rRNA from 1 species
UACGUAGGGGGCGAGCGUUGUCCGGAUUUAUUGGGCGUAAAGAGCGUGUAGGCGGCCAGGCAGGUCUGGUGUGAAAACUCGAGGCUCAACCUCGAGACGUCGGCGGAAACCAUCUGGCUAGAGUCCGGAAGAGGAGAGUGGAAUUCCUGGUGUAGCGGUGAAAUGCGCAGAUAUCAGGAAGAACACCCGUGGCGAAGGCGGCUCUCUGGGACGGUACUGACGCUGAGACGCGAAAGCGUGGGGAGCGAACAGG